GAUGAACGCUGGCGGCGUGCCUAAUACAUGCAAGUCGAGCGAACAGACGAGGAGCUUGCUCCUCUGACGUUAGCGGCGGACGGGUGAAUAACACGUGGAUAACCUACCUAUAAGACUGGGAUAACUUCGGGAAACCGGAGCUAAUACCGGAUAAUAUAUUGAACCGCAUGGUUCAAUAGUGAAAGACGGUUUUGCUGUCACUUAUAGAUGGAUCCGCGCCGCAUUAGCUAGUUGGUAAGGUAACGGCUUACCAAGGCAACGAUGCGUAGCCGACCUGAGAGGGUGGUCGGCCACAAUGGAACUGAGGAGCGGUCCAGACUCCUACGGGAGGCAGCAGUAGGGGAUCUUCCGCAAUGGGCGAAAGCCUGACGGAGCAACGCCGCGUGAGUGAUGAAGGUCUUCGGAUCGUAAAAAUCUGUUAUUAGGGAAGAACAAAUGUGUAAGUAACUAUGCACGUCUUGACGGUACCUAAUCAGAAAGCCACGGCUAACUACGUG
rnacentral:rRNA from 1 species